UACGGAGGGUGCCAGCGUUGUCCGGAUUUAUUGGGUUUAAAGGGUGCGUAGGCGGCUUUUUAAGUCCGGGGUGAAAGCCCGUUGCUCAACCACGGAACUGCCCCGGAAACUGGAGAGCUUGAGUACAGACGAGGGCGGCGGAAUGGAGGGUGUAGCGGUGAAAUGCAUAGAUACCCGGCAGAACACCGAUGGCGAAGGCAGCUGCCUAGACUGUAACUGACGCUGAGGCACGAAAGCGUGGGGAGCGAACAGG
rnacentral:rRNA from 1 species